rnacentral:rRNA from 1 species
UACGUAGGGAGCAAGCGUUGUUCGGAUUUACUGGGCGUAAAGGGCGCGUAGGCGGCGCGGUAAGUCACUUGUGAAAUCUCUUAGCUUAACUCAGAACGGCCAAGUGAUACUGCAGUGCUAGAGUGCAGAAGGGGCAAUCGGAAUUCUUGGUGUAGCGGUGAAAUGCGUAGAUAUCAAGAGGAACACCUGAGGUGAAGACGGGUUGCUAGGCUGACACUGACGCUGAGGCACGAAAGCGUGGGGAGCAAACAGG